UACAAAAGAUGAGAGUGCGCAUGGAAAUG
rnacentral:piRNA from 1 species